CAGCAGCCGCCGCCGCCUU
rnacentral:miRNA from 1 species